GAUGAACUCUGUCGGCGUGCCUAAUACAUGCAAGUCGAGCGAACAGAUGAGGAGCUUGCUCCUCUGACGUUAGCGGCGGACGGGUGAGUAACACGUGGAUAACCUACCUAUAAGACUGGGAUAACUUCGGGAAACCGGAGCUAAUACCGGAUAAUAUAUUGAACCGCAUGGUUCAAUAGUGAAAGACGGUUUUGCUGUCACUUAUAGAUGGAUCCGCGCCGCAUUAGCUAGUUGGUAAGGUAACGGCUUACCAAGGCAACGAUGCGUAGCCGACCUGAGAGGGUGAUCGGCCACACUGGAACUGAGACACGGUCCAGACUCCUACGGGAGGCAGCAGUAGGGAAUCUUCCGCAAUGGGCGAAAGCCUGACGGAGCAACGCCGCGUGAGUGAUGAAGGUCUUCGGAUCGUAAAACUCUGUUAUUAGGGAAGAACAAAUGUGUAAGUAACUAUGCACGUCUUGACGGUACCUAAUCAGAAAGCCACGGCUAACUCCGUG
rnacentral:rRNA from 1 species